UGGUGGGCUUAUCAAAUGUUCUUGCGGGUUUUCAAAAGAACACUAGUGGGUUUUCAAUAGCUCUCUGAGUUCGAAGUCUCCUUCCUCUUGAGUCCCUGUAAAACAUUUCUUUGUAUCGUAUCGUAAUUGAUUCCCGAGAGAGAGAGAGGAGAGGAGAGAGAGAGGGGAAAGAGAGAAGGUCUGGCAGGGAGAAGGAGCAUAUCAGCAGCAAUUAGAGGGAGUAGCCGGAAAAGGAAAGGAAGAAAGAAAGUAAAAGUGAUAAAAGCAAGGUUGAUGGAGUUUUGGGACAAGAUGAUCUUCCCUGUCCGCCGUCUCUGGCUUGCCGUCUCUACCCGCGUCAAGGAUCGCAAAAAUGGUGGUGGGCUUCUGAAGCUUCACGAUGAUGUGCAAUCGUGUGGGUAUCAAGAUGUGCAAGUGAUGUGGCAGAUGUUGAGUAGAGAAACAACAGACAACCAUCCGCCCUCGGCCAAACGCAAACACCAAAGACUCUUCUGGAGAGUUUUCGAGUGGUCUUCUAGCAACACUCGUAGUAAAAACUCAGCUUUGCGAUCCGAACACGAAGAAUUCUAAAUAGGAGUUUAUACUCAUUUUUAAAUAAUCAAGCAUGAACAACAUUUGCAGUUGCA